rnacentral:rRNA from 1 species
CCUACGGGGGGCAGCAGUGAGGAAUAUUGGUCAAUGGCCGGAAGGCUGAACCAGCCAUGCCGCGUGAAGGUCAGUGCCCUAUGGGCGUUAAACUUCUUUUGUGCGGGAGCAAUAAUGGUCACGUGUGGCCAGACGAGAGUACCGUACGAAUAAGCAUCGGCUAACUCCGUGCCAGCAGCCGCGGUAAUACGGGGGAUGCAAGCGUUUUCCGGAUUUAUUGGGUUUAAAGGGUGCGUAGGCUGUGAGGUAAGUCAGCGGUGAAAUGCCCCCGCUCAACGGGGUGAAGUGCCAUUGAUACUGCCUGGCUGGAAUGCGGAUGCCGUAGGAGGAAUGUGUGGUGUAGCGGUGAAAUGCAUAGAUAUCACACAGAACACCGAUUGCGAAGGCAUCUCACGAAUCCGCGAUUGACGCUGAUGCACGAAAGCGUGGGUAUCAAACAGGAUUAGAUACCCUGGUAGUC